ensembl:snRNA LOC120098414 U2 spliceosomal RNA
AUCGCUUCUCGGCCUUUUGGCUAAGAUCAAGUGUAGAAGAGUCACUGCCAUCCUUCUAAGAGUCAACCCUGGUUUCAAGAAUGUUUCGGGUUUUUUUAGGUUCCUUUUUUAAUAGCUGGGAACUCCACACUUUGUAGUUGUCAUAGAAAAAUCAUUGUGGAGGGUAUU